rnacentral:rRNA from 1 species
GGCGACCGGCGCACGGGUGAGUAACACGUAUCCAACCUGCCGAUGACUCGGGGAUAGCCUUUCGAAAGAAAGAUUAAUACCCGAUGGCAUAGUUCUUCCGCAUGGUAGAACUAUUAAAGAAUUUCGGUCAUCGAUGGGGAUGCGUUCCAUUAGGUUGUUGGCGGGGUAACGGCCCACCAAGCCUUCGAUGGAUAGGGGUUCUGAGAGGAAGGUCCCCCACAUUGGAACUGAGACACGGUCCAAACUCCUACGGGAGGCAGCAUG